AGCACGGUGGCGCAGUUGGUAGCACUGUUGCCUUGCAGGCCCACUGUUGCCUUGCAGCAAGAAGGUCCUGGGUUCGAUUCCCGGCCGGGGGUCU